rnacentral:rRNA from 1 species
UACGAAGGGGGCUAGCGUCGUUCGGAAUCACUGGGCGUAAAGCGCACGUAGGCGGACCUUCAAGUCAGAGGUGAAAUCCCGGGGCUCAACCUCGGAACUGCCUUUGAUACUGUUGGUCUCGAGUCCGGAAGAGGUGAGUGGAAUUCCUAGUGUAGAGGUGAAAUUCGUAGAUAUUAGGAAGAACACCGGUGGCGAGGCGGCUCACUGGUCCGGUACUGACGCUGAGGUGCGAAAGCGUGGGGAGCAAACAGG